rnacentral:misc_RNA from 1 species
GAUGAAGAACGCAGUGAAAUGCGAUAAGUAAUGUGAAUUGCAGAAUUCAGUGAAUCAUCGAAUCUUUGAACGCACAUUGCGCCCCUUGGUAUUCCGAGGGGCAUGCCUGUUCGAGCGUCAUUAUAACCCCUCAAGCUCAGCUUGGUGUUGGGGCCUGCUGCACUGGCAGCCCUUAAAAUCAGUGGCGGCGCCAUCUGGCUCUAAGCGUAGUAAUUCUCCUCGCUUCGGAGGCCGCGGUGCGUGCUAGCCAGCAACCCCCAAUUUUUUUCAGGUUGACCUCGGAUCAGGUAGGGAUACCCGCUGAACUUAAGCAUAUCAAUAAGCGGAGGA